AUGUUAACCAGAGGAGCAGCCGGUCCACCAGAUGUUCCCUCCCUCAAUGGACUUGUCACAGAGGGACCUUUAGUCUCUUACCUGCUCUCAGCUCCAGACCUUCUGCACUGGAGACAACCGUCGCACUGGUUUGGAAAGAUCCCGUUCACGCCACAAUGCAAACCCUAUGGUCCGAUGAUCGCUUGCCGGCUAAGGACGUUUGCCAAGUGCCAAAGACCCAAGAGUGGGAACAACACUGAGGAGGGCUGAAAAAGGAUGGAGAGAGAGCCCUUCAGCAUUCACAUAUAUACACACCCACACGUACAUGCAUACAGAACGCAGAACAAACCUCAAGAUGUGUGUUACCGCUCCAGACACUUCAUCACAUGAUCACUCCUCACUGAAGCCUUAUAUACUAAAUGCUCUUGGUGCAUUGGGCCUAUCCAAUUUAGCGGUGUGUUUGUUUGUUAUUUUCAUGAUUAUACCGGUUCUGUUUAUAUCUCAGCACAUCUUACAAUGCUAACUCCCCUGAUCUGGCUCACGUCCACCUCGCUAUCUGCAAACAAUCAAUGAUUGGCUGCGGUUUGAUCUCUAGCUAUUGGAUUUUUCAACGCACAAACAUACUCUUGAUGAAAAAAGGCCAAAAGCACCAUAAAGGACUGCGUGUUUCUGUAUGCAUAUCAGCAAAGGGACUUUAUUUGCUGUUGAUUGAACAAAACCUUGACUUGACUGUUUCUGCCUGCCCCUUUUUCUUUUUUUAAUUUUCUUUUUUUUUAUUUCCAGUCCCACCAUUAGCCGUAUAAUCUCUGAUCACCCCCUCUCUUUAAAGAUUACAUAUCCUAUAUAUGUAGCGACAUGAAAAGCUGCUGAUAUUAGCUUCAGAGCUACCGUGUGUACACAUUUGUGCUGUGUAAGAGCUGCCAGUACCACAAGGUACCUGACGUGGUUGAAAGAUAUUGCUCUUUAUCUACGGUAAACACUUCAAACAUUCAUAGACAUUUCUCUUGCAGAGUCAAAGGUUUUAUUAAGUGAGUCUGCAGGUAUGUGAAGCAAAUGCGAAUCAAAGAGGUGCCAUUUAUUUCAGUUUUCAUACAUGUCACAGGUUUUCUUCGUGAUUUCUUUGUAAGUCACUGUGCUUUUAGCUUUUAGCCCUCUUGUAGAAGAGUAUUUUAGUGAACUGUAGCUUAGUGUUUUUUCGAGAUCCACUGGUCAUCUUUAAGAGCUCUCUCUUACUGACCUACCGCAUUUACCUCACCAUCUCAGUGCUGGCUGAUGUUUGAAAACUGUCCAAAACAUUACAAAGUAUCAAAGUUCAUCUUUCACAAUUUGCUAAAUAUGUAUUUAUUCACAGUUUGACAGAUUUUGCCCGAAGCCUUUUAUAUGUGAACAGUAACCCGAUUCUAGUGAGGAGUCUUUUUGGAUAGGAAGAGGACGCACCGGCAUAGACGAUGUUCACAACAUGGUGGCUAUCUUCAAGUGAAAUCCAUUAGUGAAAUCUUUCCAGUCAUUUUCCAUAAUGUUUUGUGCCCCCCAUUUCCAUAACACUGCAGGCAACAGUAUGUAAAACAGUCUCUUAUGGGUGUCUGGAGUCAUACUGACUCACAUACUGGUACAUGCCACAUUGAAAUCUCCCACAUUUGUAAAUGAGGGGAAACUGUAAAGUUUACACACCCAAUGCAAGUGUAUAUAGUACAGCCAUAGUGUGGUGCAGAACACAGUACUGGUAAACAAACUGUUAGUCAUACAUUGUGUUUUUUCAUACAUUCUCUCAGGAGAGAGAGGAAAGGUCGAGAUGCAGCGAAUCGCAAUCCAUUGAUUUGCUUUUCUAAUUAAAACUGCCCUUUGAAUGGUUUCCAACACAACACAACAGAAGCUGCGCUCGGCUCUCAUGGCUCUCACUAUCGGUUAUUUUAAACUCAUGUUAAGGGUAAUUACAGCAUCCACACACUGUCAGUGCAGACACCUCCGACAUGCAUUGUUAUUUCCCAGUCGGACUCCAGUUACAUACAUUAUGUGACUGGCAGAGUCACUGGCACCAGAUAAUUCAUAAUCUUUUUGGGUAGAAAUAUUGUAUUUCAGGAAUCAGUUUUGAUAAAUGUGCCAAAAUUUCGGUGAGGAAAAAAAGUUACUAUACUGAGAUUUCAUCCAUUGAUUAUGAAAAUUAAUGAAAAACAGAGGAUUUUUUUGUUUAAAUCACACUAAUAUUUCCAAUAUGAAAGUAAAUUGAUGAAUCACAUUCACAAGACUGAAACUAGCAGCAAUGCAGCCAUUCAGAGUCUGGAGAGGUAUUGGGCUUAGGGAUGUCAUCAUUCUUACAACGCUAAUGUCAAAUGUUUAUGAAAUAUUCUUCAAAAUUGUAUAAUUUAUAGAUUUUUUUUUCUCUUUCCUAAGAAAACCUUUUUUUAUAUAUAUCAGUGAUAUUCCCCUCCUCCUGUGAUAUUGUUGUUAAACUUGUGCAUUACCGUAGGCUAAUAUAUAUGUGUCGUGUAUUUGAUAGAAUAUAUCCUAAUGCAGUUUAGAGUCUGCAGGUGACUGACUGUGUAACAUUUUAAGUCAUAUCCAAUAUUUUAAUUGGAUGUUAGGCAGAGACCAGAAGCAGGCAAGAGAAUCUGAAUUUACUAGUGCCAACUUGGGUCCUUUGCUAUCUCAUUUAUUCACAUUUGUUCGUUAUCCUUGGUUCAGAUUGUAUGAUGGUGCACUUUAAAUUGUUAAAUCUAGACCUGGAGCGAUCUUUAAAUUUGUGAUUUCUUUGCAUAUCAUUGCCAAAAUAGACUGCUUGCAUGUACGGUAACCAUUCUUGACAAGUGAUUCAAUCUCCAUUCUCUCCGAAGUCUCCUCCAGUUCCCUCUUAUUCCCUCUCAUUGUUAUUGGCACUUGGAACAAGAUCAAAGAUAAAUAGGUGAGAACAACUACAACUGUCUCAGGACAUUGUUUUAUUUUUUAGGUCAUGUAGGACUCCAUAGGCCGUUGUUUUUUUUUUUUUUGCUUUUUUUUUCUUGACAUUGUGUUUAUUGUCGUAUAAGCAAUUUAUAUUUGUAACAUCUUUUAAGCUUAUUUUUAUCUGUGACUAAAAAAAAAGUGAAAAUGGUUAUGCACACUGUACUUGAGUAUGUAACAGAAUAUCAUACUAAAUAAUAACCACUUUCUCAAAAAAAAAAAAAAAAAAAUCAAGUGUCUCUUUUUUGAGUAUUAUUUCCAUAAUGAGUUAUGAAUUAUGCCUUCUCUUGAUGCAGACUCACGCUGUGUCCUAACCAGCCCCUAAAGCACUAAACACUGUCUGAAAAUCGGUGGUUUUCUCCAAACUGAGCUCCACACAGCAAAAGUCAGGACGUUUGGUCAGUCAGAUGAUUUCGAAAGACUUGUGCAGUCAGGUGAACAGUCAAUAAAGAACCAGUCUUGUCCA
ensembl:lncRNA